GUCGAAGCUCCGAUGUUGGCAUUGGCACUGCGGCAGCUCCAGAACUCCAUGGCCGACAGCCGCCUCUCGCUCUCCUCAGGCCCAAAGUCACAGAGGGAGCGGCGGGUGUCAGUGGGCUGACUGGUGGUCUGAUCGGUGCUGUCUUGGACACCUCGACUGAAGCUGAAGUUAUGGAAGUCUCUGUGGAGAAACAAGGAGAGCGGAACCAUUCGUGUCUGGGCACCACUACUUUGAAUCCUGCACCAUCCUCUAAGGCUAGAGCUGCCCUAGCCAUGUCUGUGAGCAUGAACUUAUGAACCCUACUUGGAUGAGAGGCAAACAUCUUUAAAGACAAUACAAACAGUCCAGUUGCAGAAUUAUUCACAGGGAAGGAGGUAAUUAUAUUUAAUUUUAUUUGUACUGGUAAAAAAAAAUAGGGUAGUUUUGCAAAUGUUUGAUAACAGUUGCAUUCAAUUAGUUACAAUUUCUAAAUUGUAGAGUAGACUUUCAUUCAUCCCACUAUAGGGAAUUUCCACAGUUCCGUUGCAGUGCAGAUUUUACACACAACAAAGUGUAAAACAUAAUAAAAACAAUGACAAAAUGUUAUAAAUAACUGAAAAUGAUCAUAUAAUCUAUUCAAAUUGAUUAUGUUACUUAAAUUGUUUUUAUCAGCAAGUUUAUGCUCUUAAAAUGUAUUUUACUACAUGGGAGUUAAAUCAAUUAAAGUAUUUCCUCCCCUUUAAUGAAUGCCCCACCCAUAUUUAUCACGGACUACGUCAUUCGUUUGAAUCAAACGCCACACCUCAAAUAAACCUAUUUUUCUCUGGAAAAGAGGCUCCAGCCACCCCUGCUACCAAGAGAGGAACAAACAGUAGAAAAUAGAUGGAUGUAUGUAUUGAUGAAACAAAACUUUUAAAUAAGAAGAAACAAAAGUUUCUCACCGGUUGCUGUGGAAGGACUCUGUUCGUCUAGCGCGGGCCAGCAGAGGGCUCUCUCUGUAGGGCCGCACAGCCCCGUAGGUGGCCUGGUUCUCUGGGACGACUUCCUGGGUCUGCAACUGCAGACUGGAGGACAUACAAGAUGAUUAAUCUACAACGGAGGCUAUUUGUGUUCUCCUACCUUGAGCAAGAUUCUCUGAGGCGUGGGUGGUGCAGCACAGAAGGGGCGGGGCUAAUAUUAGGUGUGGCACAGCGGGAGGUGCUUAGAUCACACUGGUCCAACAGCUGCAACAGUUCUUCUUCUGUGGGUCCACCAACAUCUAAACAACACGGGCAGCUUGAGAACAUGCAGAGUGUAUGAACUAUUAUGUAAUAUUCACUUAUCCAUCCUUCACCUUCUUUCUUCUUCUCCUCUCCCUUAUUGGCAGUGUCCAUUGCAGUGGUCAGAUCCCACAGCUGGAUGCUACCAUUGCUGUGGCCAGUAAACAGAUAGCGACGUGGUCUGGAUCCCAUCCGGCUGGAACCUUCGCACUCCCGAACCAUAAAGCAAGAGAUGGUGGUCCCAUCCACAGAUUGGACUUCACAGAUUCUACAUUAUAAAAUAACAAAAGCUCAGAGAGGGAAAACUUCCACGGACCAUUUUUACUUGACUGAAAAUACUGUACCUUCUCCCUGUGGAUGAGAGCCUGACAAAGAGUUUGUUGGUAACAGGGAUGACCUUCUGGAUGAACACCUGUUGAUCAUCUCUCUCUCCAAAUGGACCUGAGGGAACAAUCAUCCGAGCUAAGAUGUUUAUUAUCGAGAGAAAAUCUUGAUAAUAAUCAAUAAUCUCUCACCGAUAUCAUUUCCUGAGCAGUAGCUGCCAUGGCUCUCAGUUUCCUCCAAGGAGAGUAUUUUGAAGGAGGCCAAAGGUGUGGACCCCGGCUGGGUGGAGAUCAUUCCUCGGAAGCGUGUCACCGUCCAAGUCCUGACGUGGUUGUUAUCAGCGCACACUGACACCAGCACAGAAUGAGACAGCAUGAUCUUGGUCACGGGGCUCCUGUGCACGGUGAACGUCUGGAAGAGCUGAGGACCCGAGCCAACGGUCUCUGGGUGCUGCACGAUGACUCUCACUGCACCACUGCUUGUCCCGUAAGCAAUCUCAA